rnacentral:rRNA from 1 species
AGAUUGAACGCUGGCGGCAGGCCUAACACAUGCAAGUCGAGCGGUAGAGAGGUGCUUGCAUCUCUUGAGAGCGGCGGACGGGUGAGUAAUGCCUAGGAAUCUGCCUAGUGGUGGGGGAUAACGUUCGGAAACGGACGCUAAUACCGCAUACGUCCUACGGGAGAAAGCGGGGGACCUUCGGGCCUCGCGCCAUUAGAUGAGCCUAGGUCGGAUUAGCUAGGUUGGUGAGGUAAUGGCUCACCAAGGCAC